UAGGGAAUCUUCGGCAAUGGGGGGAACCCUGACCGAGCAACGCCGCGUGAGUGAAGAAGGUUUUCGGAUCGUAAAGCUCUGUUGUUAAGGAAGAACGAGUGUGAGAAUGGAAAGUUCAUGCUGUGACGGUACUUAACCAGAAAGGGACGGCUAACUACGUGCCAGCAGCCGCGGUAAUACGUAGGUCCCGAGCGUUGUCCGGAUUUAUUGGGCGUAAAGCGAGCGCAGGCGGUUAGAAAAGUCUGAAGUGAAAGGCAGUGGCUCAACCAUUGUAGGCUUUGGAAACUGUUUAACUUGAGUGCAGAAGGGGAGAGUGGAAUUCCAUGUGUAGCGGUGAAAUGCGUAGAUAUAUGGAGGAACACCAGUGGCGAAGGCGACUCUCUGGUCUGUAACUGACGCUGAGGCUAGAAAGCGUGGGUAGCAAACAGG
rnacentral:rRNA from 1 species